rnacentral:rRNA from 1 species
CCUACGGGAGGCAGCAGUGGGGAAUUUUGGACAAUGGGCGCAAGCCUGGUCCAGCAAUGCCGCGUGAGUGAAGAAGGCCUUCGGGUUGUAAAGCUCUUUUGUCAGGGAAGAAACGGUUCGGGUUAAUACCUUAGGCUAAUGACGGUACCUGAAGAAUAAGCACCGGCUAACUACGUGCCAGCAGCCGCGGUAAUACGUAGGGUGCAAGCGUUAAUCGGAAUUACUGGGCGUAAAGCGUGCGCAGGCGGUUGUGCAAGACAGAUGUGAAAUCCCCGGGCUCAACCUGGGAAUUGCAUUUGUGACUGUACGGCUAGAGUGUGUCAGAGGGGGGUAGAAUUCCACGUGUAGCAGUGAAAUGCGUAGAGAUGUGGAGGAAUACCGAUGGCGAAGGCAGCCCCCUGGGAUAACACUGACGCUCAUGCACGAAAGCGUGGGGAGCAAACAGGAUUAGAUACCCUGGUAGUCCACGCCCUAAACGAUGUCUAACUAGUUNUCGGGUCUUUAAUUGACUUGGUAACGCAGCUACGCGUGAGUAGACCGCCGUGGGAGGUACGGUCGCGAGAGUUAAACGUACGAAGAAGUAGACGGCGUGAGACGUGACCGACGGACGACGACGAGGGAGGUUAGG